GGGAACGCUGGGCUUCGACAAGUAUUCGCGAAUCAUUACGCUGAAUAGGGUUUGCUUGCACCUUCGAACAACAGGCAAAGUCAUAACUGCCAACUUAUCUAAUAGGCAACCCGCAUUGGCAUUUGCUUAAUGUCGGGUAGUCCCUUCUCUUACGCUCGAUACGAGACAGGGGCUUCAUACAUCGAGAUAGAUGGUGUGAGGACUUGAGCUUCACCGCACACCACGACACUAACGAAGCGCGUGCGUUUUGUGUUUUGUUAAUUUUCAAGCAUAACGUGUACUACUAAAUUAACUAGGAUUCUGUAGAAGUAAUGAGUCAACCUACUUGGAUGCGGGUUCAACUCCCGCCGUUUCCACCA
rnacentral:tmRNA from 1 species